CCUACGUGAGGCAGCAGUGAGGAAUAUUGGUCAAUGGGCGAGAGCCUGAACCAGCCACGUCGCGUGAGGGAGUACUGCCCUAUGGGUUGUCAACCUCUUUUGUCGGGGAGCACAAGCCGGACGUGUCCGGCUUUGAUAGUACCCUACGAAACAGCAUCGGCUAACUCCGUGCCAGCGGCCGCGGUAAUACGGGGGAUGCGAGCGUUAUCCGGAUUUCUUGGGUUUAACGGGUGAGCAGGGGUAGUUUUAAGUCAGCGGGAAAAUCGGGGGCUAAACCCCCUCCAGCCGGUGAAACUGGGGAUCUAGAGUGUGCGAGAGGUAUGCGGAAUGAGUGGUGUAGCGGUGAAAUGCAUAGAUAUCACGCAGAA
rnacentral:rRNA from 1 species